rnacentral:rRNA from 1 species
UACGGGGGGGGCAAGCGUUGUUCGGAAUUACUGGGCGUAAAGGGUUCGUAGGUGGCCAACUAAGUCAGACGUGAAAUCCCUCGGCUCAACCGGGGAACUGCGUCUGAGACUGGUCGGCUCGAGGGCAGGAGAGGAACGCGGAAUUCCAGGUGUAGCGGUGAAAUGCGUAGAUAUCAAGAGGAACACCUGCGGCGAAGGCGGGUUGCUGGGCCGACACUGACGCUGAGGCGCGAAAGCUAGGGGAGCGAACGGG